rnacentral:rRNA from 1 species
GGAGUUAGCCGGUGCUUCUUCUGUGAGUGAUGUCCUUCCUGCCGGUUAUUGACCCGCAGGCCUUCUUCCUCACUGAAAGUGCUUUACAACCCGAAGGCCUUCUUCACACACGCGGCAUGGCUGGAUCAGGGUUGCCCCCAUUGUCCAAUAUUCCCCACUGCUGCCUCCCGUAGGAGUCUGGGCCGUGUCUCAGUCCCAGUGUGGCUGAUCAUCCUCUCAGACCAGCUACGGAUCGUCGCCUUGGUGAGCCGUUACCUCACCAACCAGCUAAUCCGACAUAGGCUCAUCCGAUAGCGCGAGGCCCGAAGGUCCCCCGCUUUCCCCCGUAGGGCGUAUGCGGUAUUAGCCUGGGUUUCCCCAGGUUAUCCCCCACUACCGGGCAGAUUCCUAUGCAUUACUCACCCGUCCGCCGCUCGCCACCAGGGAGCAAGCUCCCCGUGCUGCCGCUCGACUUGCAUGUGUUAGGUCGUCGCCGCCGACGCGUUCACUACUGAGCCACUAAUACAACUACUCGA